UCACACGUAUCUCUUUAUAGACAGGCUACAGCAUCCCUGAGUCAGAGCAGUGAAGGAAGAUCCAGUGUUAUUUCAGCAGCUGAGACGAGAAACAGUCCAGUACUUCCACAGCUGUGCCAGGAUGAAAAUAAUGGCCACAUAUAUGUAAAUGCUGGCACUCCUGAGGUGUUCUACCGAACUGAUCAGCCAAUUCAAGAUGUGAUAACUACCC